rnacentral:rRNA from 1 species
CUUAAGUGGGGGAUAGCCCGAGGAAACUCGGAUUAAUACCGCAUGUGAUCUUCGGAUCAAAGGUGGCUUCGGCUGCCGCUUAAGGAUGGGCUCGCGGCCUAUCAGCUUGUUGGUGAGGUAACGGCUCACCAAGGCGACGACGGGUAGCUGGUCUGAGAGGACGAUCAGCCACACUGGAACUGAGACACGGUCCAGACACCUACGGGUGGCAGCAGUCGAGAAUCAUUCACAAUGGACGAAAGUCUGAUGGUGCAACGCCGCGUGGAGGAUGAAGGCCCUAGGGUCGUAAACUCCUGUCAUCAGGGAGUAAGCCUUGGUCGUUAAUAGCUUCCAAGGUUGAUAGUACCUGAAGAGGAAGGGACGGCUAACUUCGUGCCAGCAGCCGCGGUAAUACGAAGGUCCCAAGCGUUGUUCGGAAUCACUGGGCGUAAAGAGUAUGUAGGCGGCAAGGUAAGUCAGAUGUGAAAGCCCGGGGCUCAACCUUGGAACUGCAUCCGAUACUGCUUUGCUUGAGUAAUGGAGGGGUGACUGGAAUUCUCGGUGUAGCAGUGAAAUGCGUAGAUAUCGAGAGGAACACUCGUGGCGAAGGCGAGUCACUGGACAUUUACUGACCUGAGAUACGAAGGCCAGGGUAGCGAAAGGGAUUAGAUACCCCUGUAGU